ACAAGCCAGUGCACCUGUCCUCCCAACCACUCAGGAAGCCAAGGCAGGAGCAUCACUUGAGCCCCAAAGGUCAAGUCCAGCUUAGGCACAGGCGAGACCCUGUCUUUGUUUCUAAGAAGCCCAAAGGCCUUCCCCGUGAAGUUUUCCUUCAGUCUGGCUUCGGGGAUGAGAAAUGGCGCUUCUCUUCCCCGAGGGGAAUCUCCUGGGGUCACAGAACCACGUGGUGGAAGCAGAUGGAUGGGACAGGCUCCCACUAGACGCAAGCCAAGCAGCAGGGAAAAGGUCAAGGUUCCGUCCAUCAAGCCGCCUCCCUGUGAGCAGAGGCACUCGGGUCAUAGCAGCC
rnacentral:lncRNA from 1 species